CUACGGGUGGCUGCAGUGGGGAAUAUUGGACAAUGGGCGAAAGCCUGAUCCAGCCAUGCCGCGUGUGUGAAGAAGGCCUUCGGGUUGUAAAGCACUUUCAGUGGGGAAGAAAGCCUUGGGGCUAAUACCCUCGAGGAAGGACAUCACCCACAGAAGAAGCACCGGCUAACUCCGUGCCAGCAGCCGCGGUAAUACGGAGGGGGCGAGCGUUAAUCGGAAUUACUGGGCGUAAAGCGCGCGUAGGCGGUCUGAUAAGCCGGUUGUGAAAGCCCCGGGCUCAACCUGGGAACGGCAUCCGGAACUGUCAGGCUAGAGUGCAGGAGAGGAAGGUAGAAUUCCCGGUGUAGCGGUGAAAUGCGUAGAGAUCGGGAGGAAUACCAGUGGCGAAGGCGGCCUUCUGGACUGACACUGACGCUGAGGUGCGAAAGCGUGGGUAGCAAACAGGAUUAGAUACCCUGGUAGUC
rnacentral:rRNA from 1 species